rnacentral:rRNA from 1 species
UACGUAGGUGGCAAGCGUUGUCCGGAAUCACUGGGCGUAAAGCGCACGUAGGCGGAUCUUUAAGUCAGGGGUGAAAUCCUGGAGCUCAACUCCAGAACUGCCUUUGAUACUGGGGAUCUCGAGUCCGGAAGAGGUGAGUGGAACUCCGAGUGUAGAGGUGAAAUUCGUAGAUAUUCGGAAGAACACCAGUGGCGAAGGCGGCUCACUGGUCCGGUACUGACGCUGAGGUGCGAAAGCGUGGGGAGCAAACAGG